CAACUUUCAACAACGGAUCUCUUGGUUCUGGCAUCGAUGAAGAACGCAGCGAAAUGCGAUAAGUAAUGUGAAUUGCAGAAUUCAGUGAAUCAUCGAAUCUUUGAACGCACAUUGCGCCCCUUGGUAUUCCGGGGGGCAUGCCUGUUCGAGCGUCAUU
rnacentral:rRNA from 1 species